AUUGAACGCUAGCGGGAUGCUUUACACAUGCAAGUCGAACGGCAGCGCGGACUUCGGUCUGGCGGCGAGUGGCGAACGGGUGAGUAAUGUAUCGGAACGUGCCCAGUAGCGGGGGAUAACUACGCGAAAGCGUAGCUAAUACCGCAUACGCCCUACGGGGGAAAGCAGGGGAUCGUAAGACCUUGCACUAUUGGAGCGGCCGAUAUCGGCUUAGCUAGUUGGUGAGGUAACGGCUCACCAAGGCGACGAUCCGUAGCUGGUUUGAGAGGACGACCAGCCACACUGGGACUGAGACACGGCCCAGACUCCUACGGGAGGCAGCAGUGGGGAAUUUUAGGCAAUGGGGGCAACCCUGAUCCAGCCAUCCCGCGUGUGCGAUGAAGGCCUUCGGGUUGUAAAGCACUUUUGGCAGGAAAGAAACGUCGCGGGCUAAUACCCCGUGGAACUGACGGUACCUGCAGAAUAAGCACCGGCUAACUACGUG
rnacentral:rRNA from 1 species